AAGAAAGUAACAUAGUGGUCAUGUGUUUGGCUUGAAACCAUAUCAUGGGGGUUCGAUUCCCUCCUUUCUCG
rnacentral:tRNA from 1 species